rnacentral:rRNA from 1 species
UACCGGUGGCGAAGGCGACUUGCUGGACUUCAACUGACGCUGAGGAACGAAAGCGUGGGUAGCAAACAGGAUUAGAUACCCUGGUAGUCCACGCCGUAAACGAUGAGUGCUAGGUGUCGGGGGUCAAACCUCGGUGCCGCCGUUAACACAAUAAGCACUCCGCCUGGGGAGUACGUGCGCAAGCAU